rnacentral:lncRNA from 1 species
AUGGCUCAGGAAGGUCCUCGGCCGCCUUCAAAUAUUCCUGAAACGCUCCCAGUGGUCCCGACCGGAGCCUUCUGCUUCCCAACAAAUGCAAAUAUUCGGGCAUAUUUUGGAACAGGAGGAAAUAAAAGAGCGAGGCUGGAGGAUGCGAGGAGCAGACGCCGGGAGCUGUCUCCGAACGCACAUUUCGGUGACCAGCUGGAUCCCAGGAGCCACCUUCCUCGGGAACUUUCACCCCGGCAGCAACGCCCGGGGGUGUGUGGCCCCAGCGCGAUGCUCCCGGUUCGGCGGAGCCCGGCGGGGCCGCGGGAGCUCCGGUGCCAAACGCUCCGCUGCGCCUCCGCCGAGCAGCUCCCGCCGGCAGCACGGGGCGUCCCUCGCCCGUUCCCCUCCGGGGGCUCCGGAUCCUGCAACGGAGCCAAGAACGGAGCCAGGACCGCACGGGCUGCGCCCCGGGACCUUCCCCGUCCCCAGCCCGGCUCUGCCGGAGCGCCGCGAAAAGCAAAAUCCCGGCAAAAUCCCUGUUCCCAGGUUUCAGCUCUUUUCAGUGUCUCUCCAGAUCCCCAGGCACUCGCUCGGGGGAUAUGCCUUUGAGGACUCAGUAAGCUGGGUUUAGUUGCUGGACGAUGAAGCUGGGAGAGCAUUGCUGGCUGUGCAAGGAGUUUUGCUUUUUACGAGACGGGAGUGAAUGCUGGGCACCGGGGUGUAUCUGUAAUAGUGUGAUUUAGAGGAAAAACCCACCUCGCCAUCACCGUUUGCAGAAACGUUUUUUUUUUUUUCUACUGAGGUUAGAGUAUGGAAACACAGAACACCUUCCCUGACUGAUCCACUGCGCUGCUCCACGUCCUCCUGGAACAGAGCGGAGACCUGCCCCGGCCACCAGCAUCACAGCACUGGUUAUCUGGGAUGGAGCAGCUGCAUUAGCAGAAGCUGAAGGUGUGAUGAGUUUCUCUGGACUCAGACAUCGCAGUGCGGCCAAACCCCUCCAGGCUGACCCCACACCACCAUGAUUUUCAGAAGAGCUCCAGCAAUGAACAACCGUCAGAAAACCCUUACACUAACACUGGUGAUGUAAAAAAAUAUUCCCCAAAUUGCUUGGUGAGCCAGCUGCUUUUCAGUACCAAAUCUGCACUUGCACGGGAGGCAGAUUUAAAGGGUGUUUGGGUGCUCUGGUACUUCUGGAAAUCCUCCCAGCUGACUAAUGCCCAAAUCUUUGCAAAUCUUGAUUUAGGAAAAAUAUCCGCUCUGGACCAGCGCUUAAAAAGCUCAAGGCCAUUUUCAAAUCCUUGUAAUGCCGCAGUUUCCUGGGCAUGUGAAAGCGAGAGGAAAAAGCAGAUCAGUCUGUAGCGGGCAGGGGUCCAGGGCUGGCGGCGAGCAGGCAGCGCAGGCAGGGGCAGGCAGCCGGGCUGCAGCGAGGGGUUAUUUCAGGGAGUGCCGAGCUCCCCCAGCUCCUCACCACGGGCUGGAGCAGCACGGGGAGUGGGGCAGGAGGGCUGCCCUUCCACACCGCCCCCAGCAGCUCAGCGCAGGGCUCCCGGGGUGCGGAACCCGCGGGGCCGGGGGCGAAGCCAGCGCCGCUGCCAGCCCCAGGCUGGGCACGGGCAGGGAGCCCGGCUCCAUUAUUCCUCCUGCCUUUACAGGAAACCGCUUUGUUGUGUUGUCAAUACACAGAUUUUCUUAAAAAAAA